rnacentral:rRNA from 1 species
AUUGAACGCUGGCGGCAGGCCUAACACAUGCAAGUCGAGCGGAUGAGAGGAGCUUGCUCCUUGAUUUAGCGGCGGACGGGUGAGUAAUGCCUAGGAAUCUGCCUGGUAGUGGGGGAUAACGUUCCGAAAGGAACGCUAAUACCGCAUACGUCCUACGGGAGAAAGCAGGGGACCUUCGGGCCUUGCGCUAUCAGAUGAGCCUAGGUCGGAUUAGCUAGUUGGUGAGGUAAUGGCUCACCAAGGCGACGAUCCGUAACUGGUCUGAGAGGAUGAUCAGUCACACUGGAACUGAGACACGGUCCAGACUCCUACGGGAGGCAGCAGUGGGGAAUAUUGGACAAUGGGCGAAAGCCUGAUCCAGCCAUGCCGCGUGUGUGAAGAAGGUCUUCGGAUUGUAAAGCACUUUAAGUUGGGAGGAAGGGCAGUAAGCUAAUACCUUGCUGUUUUGACGUUACCGACAGAAUAAGCACCGGCUAACUUCGUGC